AAGCAUGAAGCCCCCCUCGAGAUGAGAUUUCCCAACUUCGGUUAUAAGAUCCCUCGAAGAUGACGAGGUAAAUAGGUUCGAGGUGGAAGCGUAGUGAUACGUGGAGCUGACGAAUACUAAUCGAUCGAAGACUUAAUCAAAUU
rnacentral:rRNA from 1 species